rnacentral:lncRNA from 1 species
CGCGGGAAGCGAGCGCGCGUGCGCGGCGGGGAUUGGUAACCCUGAAUGUCUCAGAAUGGAUAUCAGCUAGAAGACUCUGACCUGGACAGAUGCAGAUCUAGACAUACAGUUCCUGCAGUCAUGCUAGUAGAGAGAUCAUGUCAGCAGCAAAGAGUGCAAUUGGACGUCAGCAGCAAAGCAUUCAUUCCUGAAGGAAAUUAUUGAACCCACACACAGAGAAUUCUGACAGCAUUGUUUAGCGAUGCGGUCUUCUUAUGUUGUCCAGGCUGAUCUGAA